AAAACCCUGCCAAGAACAGCAACAAUCCAGAAACAAGCUAUUUAUGAGUCUACACACAAAAAUCACCAAAACUUCAUCAAUAAUCCAAAAUUCAGCACUUAAGCUUAAAUUAGCCUCAAUCUCAAUGUCAACUUCACCUUCCAAUCUUCAAAUCAGGUGAGAAAGGGUUCCAAAUCCAGUGAACUAUGAUGGAGUAUCAUCCUCAGGUCCGAAAUCCAGCUUCCUCCAAAAAUUACAGCAAGAAAAUCCACAAACUCACAAUUUCAGUCCAAAAACACUAUCAGCGCAAAAAAAUACCAAAUUGACUAUACUAAUCUCAAUCAAAUAUUGUCAAAAUAGGCUCCACGAAAUCUUCA
rnacentral:lncRNA from 1 species